rnacentral:rRNA from 1 species
AGAAUCAACGCUGGCGGCGUGCCUAACACAUGCAAGUCGAACGAGAAAGUGGAGCAAUCCACGAGUAAAGUGGCGCACGGGUGAGUAACACGUGACUAACCUACCCUUGAGUGGGGAAUAACUGAGGGAAACCUUAGCUAAUACCGCAUAACACCUACGGGUCAAAGGAGCAAUUCGCUUAAGGAGGGGUCGCGGCAGAUUAGUUAGUUGGCGGGGUAAUGGCCCACCAAGACAGUGAUCUGUA